rnacentral:rRNA from 1 species
UACGUAGGAGGCGAGCGUUGUCCGGAUUUAUUGGGCGUAAAGCGCUCGCAGGCGGCUCGAUGCGUCGUGCGUGAAACACCCCGGCUCAACUGGGGAGGGUCGUGCGAUACGGUCGAGCUUGAGGCCAGUAGGGGAGUGCGGAAUUCCGGGUGUAGUGGUGGAAUGCGUAGAGAUCCGGAGGAACACCAGCGGCGAAGGCGGCAUCCUGGACUGGUACUGACGCUCAGGAGCGAAAGCGUGGGAGCGAGUCGG